UCCCUAAUGCUCCGAAAACGGAGGUUGGAGGGAACUGAAACAUCGCCUCACGGGACGCUAGUCAACACUCCACUUGGCAGCAGGUAACGUUAGCCUAGCAUUAGCUAGCAGCUGGAGUAAAAGGGGUUAAAAUGCCGAUGGCUAAACGGUGUAAAAGUGUUUCUGUUUUUCA